CCGAACGCGCGUGCCGAGCCACACCUGACCGAAACCCACUAAACGUUUCCAGAUCACUCUAAACGCGUGCCGAGCCACACCUGACCGAAACCCACUAAACGUUUCCAGAUCACUCUAAACGCGUGCCGAGCCACACACUAAACGUUUCCAGAUCACUCUAAACGCGUGCCGAGCCACACCUGAUCGAAACCCACUAAACGUUUCCAGAUCACUCUAAACGCGUGCCGAGCCACACCUGACCAAAACCCACGAAACGUUUCCAGAUCACUCUAAACGCGUGCGUCUUCAACCCUUUUUGUCUUCUUUUCACACCUUAAUUCCCUACUUGCAAUCAAGUCAUAGUGGUAAUGGCUUCAUCAUCCAUCUCCCGCCGUCUCUGACCACGCAACAAAAAGGGCAAUCGGCAUCCGCGAGGCGUCUUCCUCCCAAAGUCGCCGCUGGCUCCAGCUCAACGCCCCACUGCAAACCGUCCAACGCUGCAACCAGCCCACAAGCAGGGGAAAUCCACGACCCGAUGACCCACCCCCCUGUUCGAAGAAAUGCCAUGAAUUCCAAGCAACAAGCUAGCGUACAUGGCAUACUUCGUCGCCAUAACUCCCGCAAACUCUAUGAACCCUAGCCUCGAACUACACAUGCAGCGGAAGCCACGCCGCGAUGACCCACCGCGUGUUUGAAGAAAUGCCAUGGGUUCCAAACUACAAGCUAGCGUUCGCGGCAUACUUUGACCUCGUAACUCCUGCAGUCUAGCCUACGGCAAACCGUAGUAACACCAGCGUCGAACCACACAUGCAGCGGAAGCCAUGACCGGAUGACCCACCCCGUGUUUGAAGAUAUGCCAUAAACGUCUAAAGGCCGAACGUCACACGUCAUGGAAGAAGAAAGAAGAGGAUGGUAUUAGUUGAGCGAUAGUGAUGCGUCACGCCAUCCGGAAGAAGAACGC
rnacentral:lncRNA from 1 species